UUCCGGUUGAUCCCGCCGGAGGUCACUGCUAUUGGGAUUCGACUAAGCCAUGCGAGUCGAGAGGGUUCGGCCCUCGGCUGACGGCUCAGUAACACGUGGAUAAUCUGCCCUUAGGUGGAGGAUAAUCUCGGGAAACUGAGGAUAAUACUCCAUAGAUCUAGGAUGCUGGAAUGCAUCUAGAUUGAAAGCUCCGGCGCCUAAGGAUGAGUCUGCGGACUAUCAGGUUGUAGUCAGGGUAAAGACCUGACUAGCCUACGACGGAUACGGGUUGUGAGAGCAAUAACCCGGAGACGAUAUCUGAGACACGAUAUCGGGCCCUACGGGGCGCAGCAGGCGCGAAAACUUCACACUGUGCGAAAGCGCGAUGAGGGAAUCCCAAGUGUUUGCUCGUAAGAGUAAACUGUUUCUUUGUUUAAAACGCAGAGAGAGUAAGGGCUGGGUAAGACGGGUGCCAGCCGCCGCGGUAAUACCUGCAGCUCGAGUGGUGAUCAUUAUUAUUGGGCCUAAAACGUCCGUAGCCGGUUUAGUAAAUGCCUGGGUAAAUCGUGUAGCUUAACUAUACGACUUCCGGGUAGACUGCUAAACUUGAGACCGGGAGAGGCUAGAGGUACUCCUGGGGUAGAGGUGAAAUUCUGUAAUCCUAGGGGGACCACCAGUGGCGAAGGCGUCUAGCUAGAACGGGUCUGACGGUGAGGGACGAAGCCCUGGGGCACAAACCGGAUUAGAUACCCGGGUAGUCCAGGGUGUAAACGCUGCUUGCUUGAUGUUAGUUGGGCUCCGAGCCCAACUAGUGUCGGAGAGAAGUUGUUAAGCAAGCUGCCUGGGAAGUACGGUCGCAAGGCUGAAACUUAAAGGAAUUGGCGGGGGAGCACAGCAACGGGUGGAGCGUGCGGUUUAAUUGGAUUCAACGCCGGG
rnacentral:rRNA from 1 species